GACAGAGGGUGCAAGCGUUGUUCGGAAUUACUGGGCGUAAAGCGUGUGUAGGCGGCCGCGCAAGUCGGAUGUGAAAGCCCUGGGCUCAACCCAGGAAGUGCACCCGAUACUGCAUGGCUCGAGUACUGGAGAGGUUGGUGGAAUUCUCGGUGUAGAGGUGAAAUUCGUAGAUAUCGAGAGGAACACCGGUGGCGAAGGCGGCCAACUGGACAGAUACUGGCGCUGAGGCGCGAAAGCCAGGGGAGCAAACGGG
rnacentral:rRNA from 1 species